UUAAGCGACCAAGCGUACACGGUGGAUGCCCUGGCAGUCAGAGGCGAUGAAGGACGUGCUAAUCUGCGAUAAGCGCCGGUAAGGUGAUAUGAACCGUUAUAACCGGCGAUUUCCGAAUGGGGAAACCCAGUGUGAUUUGUCACACUAUCAUUACGUGAAUACAUAGCGUAAUGAAGCGAACCGGGGGAACUGAAACAUCUAAGUACCCCGAGGAAAAGAAAUCAACCGAGAUUCCCCCAGUAGCGGCGAGCGAACGGGGAGGAGCCCAGAGUCUGAAUCAGCAUAUGUGUUAGUGGAAGCGUCUGGAAAGGCGCGCGAUACAGGGUGACAGCCCCGUACACAAAAGCGCAUAUGCUGUGAGCUCGAUGAGUAGGGCGGGACACGUGGUAUCCUGUCUGAAUAUGGGGGGACCAUCCUCCAAGGCUAAAUACUCCUGACUGACCGAUAGUGAACCAGUACCGUGAGGGAAAGGCGAAAAGAACCCCGGCGAGGGGAGUGAAACAGAACCUGAAACCGUGUACGUACAAGCAGUGGGAGCCCCACCACCAAAGCGUUUGCUGUAGCGCGUUGACGGAGCGAAGCGACGUCAAACCGAAAAAAACAGCAGCGAUGAACGCAGGGCUUUUUGCACGAAGUGCAAAGGCAGACGCGUUCGCGAAGCGAAAAGCGAAUGUUUUGGGGUGGGGUGACUGCGUACCUUUUGUAUAAUGGGUCAGCGACUUAUAUUCUGUAGCAAGGUUAACCGCAUAGGGGAGCCGAAGGGAAACCGAGUCUUAAUUGGGCGUUAAGUUGCAGGGUAUAGACCCGAAACCCGGUGAUCUAGCCAUGGGCAGGUUGAAGGUUGGGUAACACUAACUGGAGGACCGAACCGACUAAUGUUGAAAAAUUAGCGGAUGACCUGUGGCUGGGGGUGAAAGGCCAAUCAAACCGGGAGAUAGCUGGUUCUCCCCGAAAGCUAUUUAGGUAGCGCCUCGUGAAUUCAUCUCCGGGGGUAGAGCACUGUUUCGGCCAGGGGGCCAUCCCGGCUUACCAAUCCGAUGCAAACUGCGAAUACCGGAGAAUGUUAUCACGGGAGACACACGGCGGGUGCUAACGUCCGUCGUGAAGAGGGAAACAACCCAGACCGCCAGCUAAGGUCCCAAAGUCAUGGUUAAGUGGGAAACGAUGUGGGAAGGCCCAGACAGCCAGGAUGUUGGCUUAGAAGCAGCCAUCAUUUAAAGAAAGCGUAAUAGCUCACUGGUCGAGUCGGCCUGCGCGGAAGAUGUAACGGGGCUAAACCAUGCACCGAAGCUGCGGCAGCGACACUGUGUGUUGUUGGGUAGGGGAGCGUUCUGUAAGCCGUAGAAGGUGUCCUGUGAGGGGUGCUGGAGGUAUCAGAAGUGCGAAUGCUGACAUAAGUAACGAUAAAGCGGGUGAAAAGCCCGCUCGCCGGAAGACCAAGGGUUCCUGUCCAACGUUAAUCGGGGCAGGGUGAGUCGACCCCUAAGGCGAGGCCGAAAGGCGUAGUCGAUGGGAAACGGGUUAAUAUUCCCGUACUUGGUGUUACUGCGAAGGGGGGACGGAGAAGGCUAUGUUGGCCGGGCGACGGUUGUCCCGGUUUAAGCGUGUAGGCUGACUUUCCAGGCAAAUCCGGAGAGUCAAGGCUGAGGCGUGACGACGAGGCACCACGGUGCUGAAGCAACAAAUGCCCUGCUUCCAGGAAAAGCCUCUAAGCAUCAGGUAACAUCAAAUCGUACCCCAAACCGACACAGGUGGUCAGGUAGAGAAUACCAAGGCGCUUGAGAGAACUCGGGUGAAGGAACUAGGCAAAAUGGUGCCGUAACUUCGGGAGAAGGCACGCUGACAUGUAGGUGAAGCGGUUUACCCGUGGAGCUGAAGUCAGUCGAAGAUACCAGCUGGCUGCAACUGUUUAUUAAAAACACAGCACUGUGCAAACACGAAAGUGGACGUAUACGGUGUGACGCCUGCCCGGUGCCGGAAGGUUAAUUGAUGGGGUCAGCGCAAGCGAAGCUCCUGAUCGAAGCCCCGGUAAACGGCGGCCGUAACUAUAACGGUCCUAAGGUAGCGAAAUUCCUUGUCGGGUAAGUUCCGACCUGCACGAAUGGCGUAAUGAUGGCCAGGCUGUCUCCACCCGAGACUCAGUGAAAUUGAACUCGCUGUGAAGAUGCAGUGUACCCGCGGCAAGACGGAAAGACCCCGUGAACCUUUACUAUAGCUUGACACUGAACAUUGAGCCUUGAUGUGUAGGAUAGGUGGGAGGCUUUGAAGCGUGGACGCCAGUCUGCGUGGAGCCAACCUUGAAAUACCACCCUUUAAUGUUUGAUGUUCUAACGUUGACCCGUUACCCGGGUUGCGGACAGUGUCUGGUGGGUAGUUUGACUGGGGCGGUCUCCUCCUAAAGAGUAACGGAGGAGCACGAAGGUUGGCUAAUCCUGGUCGGACAUCAGGAGGUUAGUGCAAUGGCAUAAGCCAGCUUGACUGCGAGCGUGACGGCGCGAGCAGGUGCGAAAGCAGGUCAUAGUGAUCCGGUGGUUCUGAAUGGAAGGGCCAUCGCUCAACGGAUAAAAGGUACUCCGGGGAUAACAGGCUGAUACCGCCCAAGAGUUCAUAUCGACGGCGGUGUUUGGCACCUCGAUGUCGGCUCAUCACAUCCUGGGGCUGAAGUAGGUCCCAAGGGUAUGGCUGUUCGCCAUUUAAAGUGGUACGCGAGCUGGGUUUAGAACGUCGUGAGACAGUUCGGUCCCUAUCUGCCGUGGGCGCUGGAAGACUGAGGGGGGCUGCUCCUAGUACGAGAGGACCGGAGUGGACGCAUCACUGGUGUUCGGGUUGUCAUGCCAAUGGCACUGCCCGGUAGCUAAAUGCGGAAGAGAUAAGUGCUGAAAGCAUCUAAGCACGAAACUUGCCCCGAGAUGAGUCUUCCCUGAGACUAUAAGUCUCCUGAAGGAACGUUAAAGACGAUGACGUUGAUAGGCCGGGUGUGUAAGCGCAGCGAUGCGUUGAGCUAACCGGUACUAAUGAACCGUGAGGCUUAACCUU
rnacentral:rRNA from 1 species